rnacentral:rRNA from 1 species
UACAGAGGUCUCAAGCGUUGCUCGGAAUCACUGGGCGUAAAGGGUGCGUAGGCGGGUUUUUAAGUCAGAGGUGAAAUCCUGGAGCUCAACUCCAGAACUGCCUUUGAUACUGAAAGUCUUGAGUAUGGGAGAGGUGAGUGGAACUGCGAGUGUAGAGGUGAAAUUCGUAGAUAUUCGCAAGAACACCAGUGGCGAAGGCGGCUCACUGGCCCAUUACUGACGCUGAGGCACGAAAGCGUGGGGAGCAAACAGG